rnacentral:rRNA from 1 species
UACGGGGGGGGCAAGCGUUGUUCGGAAUUACUGGGCGUAAAGGGCUCGUAGGCGGCCAACUAAGUCAUACGUGAAAUCCCUCGGCUUAACCGGGGAACUGCGUCUGAUACUGGAUGGCUUGAGUUCGGGAGAGGGAUGCGGAAUUCCAGGUGUAGCGGUGAAAUGCGUAGAUAUCUGGAGGAACACCGGUGGCGAAGGCGGCAUCCUGGACCGAUACUGACACUCAGGAGCGAAAGCGUGGGGAGCGAUCCGG